ACUCCUACGGGAGGCAGCAGUGGGGAAUAUUGCGCAAUGGACGAAAGUCUGACGCAGCGACGCCGCGUGGAGGAUGAAGGUUUCGGAUCGUAAACUCCUGUCAAGAGGGAAGAAACCUAUUAUGAAUAAUACUCAUAGUAAUUGACGGUACCUCUAGAGGAAGCACCGGCUAAUUCAGUGCCAGCAGCCGCGGUAAUACUGAAGGUGCAAGCGUUAAUCGGAAUCACUGGGCGUAAAGCGCUCGUAGGUGGCUUUGUAAGUCAGGUGUGAAAGCCCACGGCUCAACCGUGGAAUUGCACUUGAUACUGCAUCGCUAGAGUAUAGGAGAGGGAAGUGGAAUUUCUGGUGUAGGAGUGAAAUCCGUAGAGAUCAGAAGGAACACCCGUGGCGAAGGCGACUUCCUGGACUAUUACUGACACUGAGGAGCGAAAGCGUGGGAGCAAACAGGAUUAGAUACCCCGUGGUAGACUGUCA
rnacentral:rRNA from 1 species